rfam:Dipodomys ordii contig_29694, whole genome shotgun sequence.
GGUGGCUCAGUGUUAGAGCACUUGCCUUGCAUGCAUGAGGCCCUGGGUUCAAUUCCUCAGCACCA